rnacentral:rRNA from 1 species
AGUGAACGCUGGCGGUAGGCCUAACACAUGUAAGUCGAACGGCAGCACAGUAAGAGCUUGCUCUUACGGGUGGCGAGUGGCGGACGGGUGAGGAAUACAUCGGAAUCUACUUUUUCGUGGGGGAUAACGUAGGGAAACUUACGCUAAUACCGCAUACGACCUACGGGUGAAAGCAGGGGAUCUUCGGACCUUGCGCGAAUGAAUGAGCCGAUGUCGGAUUAGCUAGUUGGCGGGGUAAAGGCCCACCAAGGCGACGAUCCGUAGCUGGUCUGAGAGGAUGAUCCGCCACACUGGAACUGAGACACGGUCCGGACUCCUACGGGAGGCUGCAGUGGGGAAUGUUGGACAAUGGGCGCAAGCCUGAUCCAGCCAUGCCGCGUGGGUGAAGAAGGCCUUCUGGUUGUAAAGCCCUUUUAUUAGGAAAGAAAAGCAGCAGGUUAAUACCCCGCUGUUCUGACGGUACCCAAAGAAUGAGCACCGGCUAACUUCGUG